rnacentral:rRNA from 1 species
CAAUAGCGUAUAUUAAAGUUGUUGCGGUUAAAAAGCUCGUAGUUGGAGUUCUGCCAGGUGCCGCCUGUCCGCCCCAGUGGUGAGUACGUGGCGCGCAUUUGGCCCUUUCAAGGGGAGCGUAUCUGCACUUUAUUGUGUGGUGCGGGAUCCUUGACUUUUACUUUGAGGAAAUAGGAGUGUUCCAAGCAGGCUCUCGUCGUGCACAGCUCAGCAUGGAAUAAUAGCAUUGGACCUCGAUUCUAAGCUGUUGGUUGCCAGAAGCGAGGUAAUGAUGAAGAGGGACAGUCGGGGGCAUUCGUAUUUCAUUGUCAGAGGUGAAAUUCUUGGAUUUAUGAAAGACGAACUACUGCGAAAGCAUUUGCCAAGGAUGUUUUCAUUAA